rnacentral:rRNA from 1 species
GUAUGUCACAAGCGUUAUCCGGAUUUAUUGGGCGUAAAGCGCGUCUAGGUGGUUAUGUAAGUCUGAUGUGAAAAUGCAGGGCUCAACUCUGUAUUGCGUUGGAAACUGUGUAACUAGAGUACUGGAGAGGUAAGCGGAACUACAAGUGUAGAGGUGAAAUUCGUAGAUAUUUGUAGGAAUGCCGAUGGGGAAGCCAGCUUACUGGACAGAUACUGACGCUGAAGCGCGAAAGCGUGGGUAGCAAACAGGAUUAGAUACCCUGGUAGUCCACGCCGUAAACGAUGAUUACUAGGUGUUGGGGGUCGAACCUCAGCGCCCAAGCAAACGCGAUAAGUAAUCCGCCUGGGGAGUACGUACGCAAGUAUG